GUUUUAGUGGCAGACUAGUGCAUUAGAUUUAAGCUUUAAACAAGGUAUUUUACCCUAAAACA
rnacentral:tRNA from 1 species